UAGGGAAUCUUCCACAAUGGACGCAAGUCUGAUGGAGCAACGCCGCGUGAGUGAAGAAGGUUUUCGGACCGUAAAGCUCUGUUGUUGGUGAAGAAGGAUAGAGGUAGUAACUGGCCUUUAUUUGACGGUAAUCAACCAGAAAGUCACGGCUAACUACGUGCCAGCAGCCGCGGUAAUACGUAGGUGGCAAGCGUUGUCCGGAUUUAUUGGGCGUAAAGCGAGCGCAGGCGGAAGAAUAAGUCUGAUGUGAAAGCCCUCGGCUUAACCGAGGAAUUGCAUCGGAAACUGUUUUUCUUGAGUGCAGAAGAGGAGAGUAGAACUCCAUGUGUAGCGGUGGAAUGCGUAGAUAUAUGGAAGAAUACCAGUGGCGAAGGCGGCUCUCUGGUCUGCAACUGACGCUGAGGCUCGAAAGCAUGGGUAGCGAACAGGAUUAGAUACCCUGGUAGUCCAUGCCGUAAACGAUGAGUGCUAAGUGUUGG
rnacentral:rRNA from 1 species